GCAAUUCUUAAGGCCCGCUUUAAGCAAAGCAAAACCCUUUCUCCAUCCUUGAUAUUGUCCUGAUCGUCAACCCAGAAAAGAUGCGAACAAGCAUACACAGCUCUACAUUGAUCAGGUUUCUUCAAGAGCUUUGCAGAGUACCCUGUAGCCUUGUGCGUUAGCGUGUCCCUGUUCUCAACACCAAAGAUGUGCAUUCUCUGAAGAGUACCUAUUAUUAAUUGUAUUGCGGUCACCUGUGCUUUAGAGUCCGAAAUUUCUUCCUCGUAUAGUAUAUAAGCUUGGGUGAAGAAUUCGUAGGCAACAGGCUCUAGGUCAGAGUCAUUGGCAGCCUCAGCACACUCUAGGUACAACCUUAGUGCUAGCUCAGGUACUGGAACACUUGAGAGAGCCUCAAUUAUCUGAUUUAAAAUCUGAAAAAUUUUCUUAGGUAUAGCAGAUGUUUCCUCCUCUGGAGCAUUUUCAUCUUGGUUUUGCAGUCGCCUUACCAACUUAAGAGAAUUAAAAAUGAGGGGAGGAACUGUAAAGGGAAGCCUCUUUGGUCCUCCUGUCACAAUAUGCUUCUUCACGGUGCAAAUUAUCUUCAGCAUCUCCUCAGGGUCGUCAUUGUGAAGCAUUUGAAUAAGUCGUGAAACAGAGUUCUG
rnacentral:misc_RNA from 1 species